AUUGAACGCUGGCGGCAGGCCUAACACAUGCAAGUCGAGCGAGCGGCGGACGGGUGAGUAAUGGCUGGGAAACUGCCUGAUGGAGGGGGAUAACUACUGGAAACGGUAGCUAAUCCCGCAUACCAUCAGAUGUGCCCAGAUGGGAUUGGCUCGUAGGUGGGGUAAUGGCUCACCUGGGCGACGAUCCCUAGCUGGUCUGAGAGGAUGACCAGCAACCCUGGAACUGAGAAACGGCCCAGCCUCCUACGGGAGGAAGCAGUGGGGAAUAUUGGAAAAUGGGCGAAAGCCUGAUGCAGCCAUGCCGCGUGGGUGAAGAAGGCCUUCGGGUUGUAAAGCACUUUCAGCGGGGAGGCGUUACCCGCAGAAGAAGCAACGGCUAACUACGUGCCAGCAGCCGCGGUAAUAC
rnacentral:rRNA from 1 species